AAGGUAGCGUAAUCAAUAGCCUAUUAAUUGUUGGCCUGUAUGAAUGGUACGACGCUGGUGGUGCUGUCUCAGUUGCAUUUAUUUGAACUUAACUUCCGGGUGAAAAGGCCCAGAUAAAUCUGAAAGACGAUUAGACCCUAUCGAACUUUAGGUAGAUCAGCUGUCAAGACACCCAGUAAGGGUAGAGCCUGCCUGCUGCUUAAACCUUUGGUUGGGGUAACCGGGGGUUAAAAAAACCGCCCCCCUCCUUUGAAAGUAGACACCCGCAUGAUGAAGGUAGUAGAGAUUUUACCUCCAGGGCAAUUGGCCUUCAGGAAAGUACCACCUUUUAUAAAAUUAGGAAAGUCUGACAAGACGUAACUUACUUAUAGAAUGAACCUAAAGAACUGUUUGCUAUCAGUCAACUGUUAAUAGGGAAGAGUUACCGUAGGGAUAACAGCGUAAUCCUCCCGGCGAGACCACAUUAAGGGGAGGGUUUGCGACCUCGAUGUUG
rnacentral:rRNA from 5 species